rnacentral:rRNA from 1 species
GUAGGUGGCAAGCGUUGUCCGGAAUUAUUGGGCGUAAAGCGCGCGCAGGCGGGUUCUUUAAGUCUGAUGUGAAAGCCCACGGGCUCAACCGUGGAGGGUCAUUGGAAACUGGAGAACUUGAGUACAGAAGAGGAAAGCGGAAUUCCACGUGUAGCGGUGAAAUGCGUAGAGAUGUGGAGGAACACCAGUGGCGAAGGCGGCUUUCUGGUCUGUAACUAACGCUGAGGCGCGAAAGCGUGGGGAGCAAACAGGAUUAGAUACCCUGGUAGUCCACGCCGUAAACGAUGAGUGCUAAGUGUUAGGGGGUUUCCGCCCCUUAGUGCUGCAGCUAACGCAUUAAGCACUCCGCCUGGGGAGUACGGCCGCAAGGCUG